rnacentral:rRNA from 1 species
AUUGAACGCUGGCGGCAGGCCUAACACAUGCAAGUCGAACGAGUGGCGGACGGGUGAGUAAUGUCUGGGAAACUGCCCGUUGGAGGGGGAUAACUACUGGAAACGGUAGCUAAUACCGCAUACCAUCGGUUGUGCACAGAUGGGAUUAGCUAGUAGGUGGGGUAAGGGCUCACCUAGGCGACGAUCCCUAGCUGGUCGGAGAGGAUGACCGGCCAAACGGGAACUGGGACACGGCCCAGAUUCCUACGGGAGGAAGCAGUGGGGAAUAUUGCACAAUGGGCGCAAGCCGGAUGCAGCCAUGCGGCGUGUAGGAGGAAGGCCUUCGGGUGGUAAAGUACUUUCAGCGAGGAGGCGUUACUCGCAGAAGAAGCACCGGCUAACUCCGUGCCAGCAGCCGCGGUAAUAC